AGACUCAGGGCUAAAGAUAUGGUUUGUGCGGCAUAAACAACACCACAAAUGUAGUUAAUUCUAGAACAAAUGUACAUGGGAUUACAAAGAAUUUGGUAAGUGUAUACCUAACGAUCAAAGUGACAAAUGAAAAAAGAGAAGUUCUUAUAAGAUAUCUGUGGUACAGUAUUGAACAAUAAUGAACAAGAUUUUUUCAUUUCUUACUUUCUUAAUACUCGGUUCCUCGUUUUCACUAGAGAGAGAUACGGUUCACGUGGCUUAAACAACACCACAAAUGUAGUUAAUUUCUUGAGGGAUUAUAGAUGGGACUACACAGAAUUAGUAAUUAUACCUAACGAUUAAAGAGAAUCGAGAAAAGAGAAGUUGCUACAAAUUUACAAGUUUUCUUGAGAGGAAAAGGUUAGCCUUUUUUGCAAGUUUCAAUCAAUCAUUUUUUCCAGGAGCUGGCACCCAAGGAUUGAUGGACUUGAAAUUGACAAGUUUAUGUAUUGUUACAUUUUCCUCCCACUAUAGAUGGUCC
rnacentral:lncRNA from 1 species